rnacentral:rRNA from 1 species
GACGAACGCUGGCGGCGUGCUUAACACAUGCAAGUCGAGCGGUAAGGCCCUUUCGGGGGUACGACGAGCGGCGAACGGGUAGAGUAACACGUGGGUGACCUGCCCUCAGCUCUGGGAGUAAGCCUGGGAAACCGGGUCUAAUACUGGAUAUGACUCCAUGACGCAUGUUGUGGGGUGGAAAGCCUUGUGCGGCUGAGGAUGGGCCCGCGGCCUAUCAGCUUGUUGGUGGGGUGAUGGCCUACCAAGGCGACGACGGGUAGCCGGCCUGAGAGGGCGACCGGCCGACACUGGGACUGAGACACGGCCCAGACUCCUACGGGAGGCAGCAGUGGGGAAUCUUGCGCAAUGGGCGAAAGCCUGACGCAGCGACGCCGCGUGAGGGAUGACGGCCU